rnacentral:lncRNA from 1 species
UUUUUUUUUUUUUUUUGUCUUUUUGCCUUUUCUUGGGCCGCUCCCAUGGCAUAUGGAGGUUCCCAGGCUACGGGUCUCAUCGGAGCUGUAGCCGCCGGCCUACGCCAGAGCCACAGCAACAUGGGAUCCGAGCCGUGUCUGCAACCUACACCACAGCUCACGGCAACGCCGGAUCCUUAGCCCACUGAGCAAGGGCAGGGACCGAACCCGCAACCUCAUGGUUCCUAGUCGGAUUCGUUAACCACUGCGCCACGACGGGAACUCCUCAGCUCUCUAUUUAGCUUUUUAAGGAAGCUCCGUGCUGUUCUGCACAGAGGCUGCAUUAGCUUACAUCCCCGCCCCCCAGUAAGGAGGGUCCCCAGCUUUUGCCGCGUGCUCUGCUCUGUGACAUGCGUGGGCCACUGCUUGUCUGUCCUGUGGGCGUGGAUGGACAUUAGGUGUUAAGGAAAUGAAGCGGGGCCCUGUGGGCUCCUGGGCACACAAGCUUUUCCGGGUCCCCCAUUUCUUGUUUUGGGGAACAACCUUCAGCCUCCAUGACCUCCCCUCAGUUGCGAACGGCAGGUUCAGACAGCCGCUGAUCAGGGAAGGGAGGGAGGCAGAGACACGGGAGGAGCCGUCAAGAGACAACAGUGCAUGGAGUUCCCGCUGUGGCGCAUCGGAAACGAACCCGGCUAGGAUCCGUGAGGACACGGGUCCGAUCCCCGGUCUCGCUCACUGGGUUACUGAUCCGGUGUUGCCAUGAGCUGUGGUGUAGGUCACAGAUGCGGAUUGGAUCUGGCGUUGCUGUGACUGUGGUGUAGACUGGCAACUGUAGCUCCGAUUCCACCCCUAGCCUGAGAACCUCCAUGUGCCAUGGGUGCGGCCCUAAAAAGCCAAAAAAAGAAGGUUUCUGAUCAUCUACAUUUAUUUUUUAUUUUUUGUCUUUUUACUGCUGCAUAUGCUGCAUGGGGAGGUUCCCAGACGAGGAGCUGAGUCGGAACUGCAGCUGCCUGUCUACACCACAGCCACAGCAACACGGCCGCCAAAUCGAAUCGCGUCUGUGACCCACACCACAGCUCACGGCAAUGCUGCAUCCUUAACCCACUGAGCGAGGCCAGGGAUCGAACCUGCGUCCUCGUGGAUGCUGGUCAAAUGCGUGUCUGCUGCGCCACGAUGGGCGCUCCCUCAGUGUGUGUGUCCUUAAUUUCUCCCUGUGUGCCUUCAGGUACUUCAUACGGCGUCGCUUUAUUUUUUUUAGUUUUGGUCACGCCCACAGCGUACAGAAGUUCCCGGGCCAGGGAUCGAACCCACGCCGCAGCAGUAACAAUGAUGGCUCUGUAACCCUCUGCCGCCCGCCCGCAGUGGCGUUGCAGUGGGAGACUUCUGGCCUCCUCGCAGCCUUAGUGCUGCCAUUAACCAUUUUUCUCAGAUCACGACGGCAACCUUACCUACGCUGCUACGAUUUUCACUUUCAACCACCAGUUUUCUCUUAAAGAUUUUUUUCUCUUUUCACGACCGCACAUGUGGCCGAUGGAAGUUCCCAGGCCAGGGGCUGAAUCCGAGCAGCAGCUGCCGGCUUACGCUACCGUCACAGCACAGCCGGAUUCUUAACCCACUGAGUGAGGCCGGGGAUCGAGCCUGAAUCCUCACGGAUCCUAGUCAGGUUCUGAAUCCACGGAGUCACAGUGGGAAGUCCCCGAUAGCUCGUGUUAAGUGAUUUAGUAUGGCAUUCUUUGGUGUGGCUUAUUCAUGUUUGUUUUGCACGGGGUUUGUUCCAAUGUUUGAGCCUCUGGGCAGCCUCCCCUGGGUCAGAGCCCCAACUCUGUCUGGAACAGGUUUCAGUAGGGCCGCUCUGAGGGGCCCGUAGAGCAGAGGUGUUGAGCUCAGCUGGCUCUGGUGCUGGGUAGGCCUUCCUCCUGGGUGCCCUUGGAGCUGGAGGACCUGCUGGAACACACAGCCCCGGACGAGCCGGCACACUCUGGGUCCCUUUUGUGUGUGUGUGUGUGCGUGGUUUUUUUUUUUUUUUUUUUUUUUUGCUUUUUUUUUCAGGGCUGCACCUGCGGCAUAUAGAGGUUCCCAGGCUAGGGGUCAAAUCAGCGAUGCAGCUGCCGGCCUGCACCAUAGCUACAGCAACACGGGAUCCAAGCCCUGUCUGUGACCUACACCACAGCUCCCGGCAACGCCGGAUCCUUAACCCACGGAGCGAGGCCAGAGAUGGAACCUGCAACCUCACGGUUCCUAGUCGGAUCCAUUUCCGCUGUGCCACGACGGGAGCUCCCUUUGUGUGCGUUUUGAGUGAGUCCCACACGGGUGGCUUCGGUAUCUUAGUGAUGGAAGCAGGGGCAGGGUGCAUGGCCUGCUCACCUGAGGCAGAGGGGCUUCCACUGCUGAGCUUGGAGAUGGAGGGGCAGGUAUGGCAGCUGGGGGCACACUGGGCUCAGCGGGGGGCAGCACCCAGGGCUGUGGUGAGCAGAGGGUGGGCUGCGUGAGUCCAGCUCAGGAAAGAGCUCUGGGCCAGCCUUCGAAUUUGGGAGCUGGUGUCUUCAUGGAAUUUAAAUUGAGCCCUGGGGACUGAGCGUGCCCAGAAAAAAGGUGGGGACUGAGUCCGCGUGGACCCUUGAGCCGGGGGAAGGUGAGGGGUGGGCGAAAACAGCCUGGGUGCCUUUAUCUCCCGGCCAGGGGAUGGGUGUGGGUCUCCCCGCCUCCGAAUUCAGUUCUAGACAAUCAAGGCUUUAACUAAGAAGCGGAGCCAGAGAAAGCCCUGGGCGGGAGUUCCCUGGUGGUGCAGCGGCUUAAGAACCCGGUGUUGUCCCUGCUGCGGUGUGGGGUGGGUCCCUGGGUGUCAGCCGAGCCCAGCGGACGGAAGUGAGAUGUCACAGGGCCCAGGUGCCACUCCUGACUCACGCAGGCGUGACCUCUGUGACCUUGUGAGCUCACUUGGCUUCUGUGCCUCCGCUCCCUGUCUGGAAGAUGGGGCGAUGGCGCCACCACCUUCUGGGCUAAAUGAGCUGAUGACGGCCCAGCAUGCGGGACUCCCUGGGGGCGGGACUCCCUGGGGGGCGGCUGUCGUUAUCACCACUGCCCUUUGGGGUGUUUGUUGUCACAACUCAGAGCGGGCCAGGCCCUGCCUGCCAGGAAACCCAGAGGCCAGAAGCCUGGGUGAGGGGGGAGUCUGGUGACCUGCAAUUAAAAAAUGUUUCAUUCGUUUUUAAAAAUGUUUUCCAUGUGUAUUUGGGUAAAACCCCAACAGGCAAAGUUGAAAGGCUCUGACAAACUCGGAAGGAGUAGCAAUCACAGGAAGCUUCAUCCCCUGACAUCCAAGGACCUCCUGUAAAUAGGGAUUCAGAAAAUGUCUUGGGUCCCUGCUGUGGCUCAGCCGGUUCCGGGCCCGACACAGUGUCUGUGAGGACGCGGGUAGGAUGCCUGGCCUUGCUCAGUGGGUUAAGGAUCCAGUGUUGUCACAGCUGCAGCAUAGGUCCCAGAUGCAGCUCGGAUUCCGGUGCGGCCUUAAAAAAAGAAAAAGAAACAGAAAAGUUCUUUUUGUUUGGCUGUACCUGUGGCCUGCAGACCACGUGAAGGAGCUCCUGGGGCUCAAACCUAUACCCGCGCAGCGACAACAUCAGGUCCUUAACCCUCUGAGCCACCAGGGAACUCCAGUAAUUUUGAAAGCUAGCCCCACAGAAGCAUCGGCGCCUGAGAGAAGCAACAGUUCAGAGGGAAGGAAAUUCAGCUGGUCCUUGAACAGCAAGGGGGCUGAGGUGCUAACCCCGCUGCACUAGAAGGUCCACGUGUCACGUUUGCCUCCCCCAGAAUUAACGGCGAGCAGCCUACCCACAGCUGCCUCACCGACAGCACGGACAGGCGGUGAACACGUGUGUUGUGUGCCAUAGGUGCCUCAAAGCCAUGUGGUCGGAAGGCCAGUUGUACAACGGGCCUCAGCCUCUGGGGCCUGUUCACGGCUGGGAGUCCAGCUGCCCCCUCUCACAGGCGAGACGACCAGGCUGAAGCUUUCCCACACCCUCGACUCUGUCGCCCAGGAGAACGGGGACAGGGGCCCCGCACGCGGUGCUGGACGGAUGCGGGGAACGUGCUGGCGAUCCCGGAUGUCAGGGCCACACAGGCAGCCUGUGGACGUUCCCAGGCUAGGGGUCAAAUCGGAGCUACAGCUGAGGCCUACACCCCAGCCACGGCAACACCGCAUCCGAGCCGCUUCUGCAAACCACGCCAGAUUCUGCAAACCACGCCGCAGCUCUGCAGCCACGCCAGAUUCUCCACCCGCCGAGUGAGGCCAGGAAUCGAAACCUGAAUCCGCAUGGAGACUACGUUGGGGCCUUAACCUGCUGAGCCACAGCGGGGACUCCCAUAACUUCUAGUUCACCUGCUUCCAUGGUGUCGAGGCAAUUAAGUCUUCUCUUUCUUCUGACGUCAGUUUGCUGUAUCUUUUUCUACGAAAUUGUUCAUUUCAAAUACAGUUUCAAAUUACUUAGCC